rnacentral:piRNA from 1 species
AGGUCUAGCAUGGGGCUUGUUUUCCAC